AAUGAACGUUGGCGGCGUGGAUUAGGCAUGCAGGUCGAACGAGAUCUGUAACAAUACAGUGAAAGUGGCGAAAGGGAGAGUAAUACGUAGGUACCUGCCCUCGGGUCUGGGAUAGCUGCGGGAAACUGCAAUUAAUACCGGAUGACGUCUCUGGACCAAAGGUGUGAUUCCGCCAGGGGAUGGGCCUGCGUCCUAUCAGCUAGUUGGUGUGGUAAUGGCGCACCAAGGCUAAGACGGGUACGGGGUGUGAGAGCAUGCCCCCGCUCACUGGGACUGAGAUACUGCCCAGACACCUACGGGUGGCUGCAGUCGAGAAUCUUCCGCAAUGGGCGCAAGCCUGACGGAGCGACGCCGCGUGUGGGAUGAAGGCCUUCGGGUUGUAAACCACUGUCAGUGGGGAGCAAAUGCAUCAGGGUUCUCCCUGGUGUUUGAGCGAUCCGCAGAGGAAGCACAGGCUAAUUCCGUGCCAGCCGCCGCAGUAACAC
rnacentral:rRNA from 1 species